UGGGGAAUAUUGGACAAUGGGCGAAAGCCUGAUCCAGCAAUGCCGCGUGGAUGAAGAAGGUCUUCGGAUUGUAAAGUCCUUUCGGCGGGGACGAUGAUGACGGUACCCGCAGAAGAAGCCCCGGCUAACUUCGUGCCAGCAGCCGCGGUAAUACGAAGGGGGCUAGCGUUACUCGGAAUGACUGGGCGUAAAGGGCGCGUAGGCGGUUUGCUUAGUUAGGCGUGAAAUUCCUGGGCUCAACCUGGGGGCUGCGCUUAAUACAGGCAGACUAGAGUGUGAAAGAGGGUCGUGGAAUUUCCAGUGUAGAGGUGAAAUUCGUAGAUAUUGGAAAGAACACCGGUGGCGAAGGCGGCGACCUGGUUCAUUACUGACGCUGAGGCGCGAAAGCGUGGGGAGCAAACAGGAUUAGAUACCCCCGUAGUCC
rnacentral:rRNA from 1 species